rnacentral:rRNA from 1 species
UUCCGGUUGAUCCUGCCGGACCCGACUGCUAUCGGAUUGAGAUUUAGCCAUGCGAGUCGAACGUCCCCCUGUUGCGGGGGGCGUGGCGUACGGCUCAGUAACACGUAGUCAACCUGCCCUGGAGACAAGGACAACCCCGGGAAACUGGGAUUAAUCCUUGAUAGGUCAUCUCAUCUGGAAGGAGAGAUGGCUUAAAGGGGUACGCGGGCUUCUUCCGCGAAUCUGCUCCAGGAUGGGACUGCGUCCGAUCAGGCUGUUGGCGGGGUAAUGGCCCACCAAACCUGUAACCGGUACGGGCCUUGAGAGAGGUGGCCCGGAGAUGGACACUGAGAGAAGGGUCCAGGUCCUACGGGGCGCAGCAGGCGCGAAACCUUCGCAAUGCGCGAAAGCGUGACGAGGUUAAUCCGAGUGACUCCCGCUGAGGGGGUCUUUUGUCAGCUGUAAAUAGGCAGGCGAAUAAGGGGAGGGCAAGCCUGGUGUCAGCCGCCGCGGUAAUACCAGCUCCUCGAGUGGUCGGGGCGAUUAUUGGGCCUAAAGCAUCCGUAGCCGGUUCCGUAGGUCCUCUGUUAAAUCCAACCGCUUAACGGUUGACCUGCAGAGGAUACCGCGGGACUAGGAGGCGGGAGAGGCGGACGGUACUCCGCGUGUAGGGGUAAAAUCCUUUGAUCCGCGGAAGACCACCAGUGGCGAAGGCGGUCCGCCAGAACGCGCUCGACGGUGAGGGAUGAAAGCUGGGGGAGCGAACCGGAUUUGAUACCCGGGUAGUCCCAGCCGUAAACGAUGCUAGCUAGAUGAUUCAUUCGCAAGUCGCGAAUGAAGUGUCGCAGGGAAGCCGUUAAGCUAGCCGCCUGGGGAGUACGGUCGCAAGACUGAAACUUAAAGGAAUUGGCGGG